rnacentral:tRNA from 1 species
UAGGAGAUAGUGUAAUGGGAGCACAAAGAGUUUUGAUCUCUUAAGUAUGGGUUCGAUGCCCCUUCUCCUAA